AGUUAUUUAGCUUAAUAAAGCAUUUGUUUUGAAAACAAAAGAUAGAAAAAUUUUUUAAUAACUU
rnacentral:tRNA from 1 species